rnacentral:lncRNA from 1 species
CCCUUUGGAAGGAAGGCGGAAGAGAAGAUGUUGUAGCAUCCACCAAACAAACAAAAAAAACCUGAUGGUGAAUGGGGGGAGCCAAUAGAGUAAUAGAGUAGUGCUGUAAUGGUCAAGAUAAAACUUGACCAUUUUCAAGUGGAAAAAGCUCUGUAAAUAAGAUAAAAAGGAAACAAAAAGAAACAUUGGCCCUUCACAUGAAACUCUAGUUUAUAACUCAAAAGUAAGCAUGGCACUACGUGCUGGGAGCUGACAGUCUUGUAACUUAAUAAGAUACCAACAACUGAUGGAAGAGAAACAGAUGAAAAUGCGGAAGCCUGGGUGACAAAUGAAAAACAAAAACAGGGGAGUGCUAAGAAGAGGGGCCCCUGCAGAAGACAGCGGAAGAAGCCGUGUGUGGAACUGGGAGGCAGGAGGGCACAUGAAGAGGGCGCACAAAGAGGAAGCAGAAGACUGCAGCUGGGCUAAGGAAGAGGAGUCCCUGCGGAAGAAGCUGUGUUUGGAACCGUGGGAUGUGCCUUACACACAUUGAUACAAGGUUUGGAAUGCAGCAGUCCUCUCUGGCUGUGUCUUCCAGCAGGAAGAGAAGGAAUGUCCCCAGUGAGAAGGAAUGAGGUUCCCAAGACACAGCACAAUGUGACCCACAAGGCAGAGAAAAAUCUGAACACAAAUGCAGGGUAGAAAUAGUGGCAGUGUGUGCAUACUGCUGUUUGGAAGAGGGCACUGAUAUGCAGCCUGGGAAUGGCAGCAGUAGCUAGGACAUCACAUCUGCUGCCUGAAGCGUUCAAAGUAAAGUGGUUGUACUCUUUUUCUUUUAAUUAACCAUGCUUAUGAUUUGCUGAAAAACUCAGUAAGUGAUGUAUAGGAAUGAGGUGAUACUUGAACUGUCUGCUUGGCUGCACAGUGUCUUUGUUUAAUAAAGAUUAAUUUAUCCUACA